UCCUUUGUGCUGUGUGUGAGA
rnacentral:miRNA from 1 species